rnacentral:tRNA from 1 species
GGGCUUGUGGUUUAGUGGUAUAAUACUCCCUUAGCAUAUCUGGCCAGUCUAGGGAAGUUUGGGAGUGGUCCAGGGUUCGAUUCCCUGCAAGUCCA